rnacentral:rRNA from 1 species
AAUAUUGGACAAUGGGGGCAACCCUGAUCCAGCCAUGCCGCGUGUGUGAAGAUGGUCUUCGGAUUGUAAAGCACUUUAAGUUGGGAGGAAGGGCUUUAGGUUAAUACCCUGAAGUUUUGACGUUACCAACAGAAUAAGUACCGGCUAACUCUGUGCUAGCAGCCGCGGGAAUACAUAGGGUCCAAGGGUUAAUCGGAAUUAAUGGGCGUAAAGCGCGCGUAGGUGGUUCAGUAAGAUGGGUGUGAAAUCCCCGGGCUUAACCUGGGAACUGCUUUCAUAACUGCUGAGCUAGAGUACGGUAGAGGGUAGUGGAAUUUCCUGUGUAGCGGUGAAAUGCGUAGAUAUAGGAAGGAACACCAGUGGCGAAGGCGACUACCUGGACUGAUACUGACACUGAGGUGCAAAAGCGUGGGGAGCAAACA